AGAGCGUCGGGGAGGAAGUAGCUUGCUGCCGCCUUGGCGUCCUGCUGCUCGCGUCAUCACCGCCAGCUUCGUCGGAUCCUUACCGCCGAACCCGUUCUUGCCGCCGCCGUUGGAAUCACAAACAGGGGAAGGAGAAGACGCGGGUCAGUGCCGCGAGGAGGAGCGCGACCCGCUACACAACGCUGCGCCGCCGUGUUGUUGCCGUCGCCGAGCUCCCAUGGUUGCCGCCGGCAAGAUUCAAAGGGAGAGAAGCUCGAGGAAAGAGAAAGAUCGACAGAGGAGGUUUUGUUUGAGCGGCCGUGCCUCCAUCGCCUUUCACCACUGCAGAUCCGCCACCGUCCACCGCGCCGCACCACGCCACGUCGCCGCCGGAAACCGCCACUGAGGCCUAAGUCUGUUUGGUUAUACAGUCACCACUGUUGCUUGUGUGGCUACGCCGUGGUGGUUAUAGCUGCCGCCACAGUCACCGCCUGAAUGCCCUGGAAUUUCUAUUGUCUUGCCCUAAUUCAAGUCCAGUGUCACUACCCUGUGUUGUUCUUGCAUUUGAUUUCAUCAAAUUCGAAUCCUGCUGCAACCAUUGUCAUUACUGUAAGAAAAUUAACGCUGCCGCGAAUUAGGAAGGAAAGGGGAUUGUCGCGUUUAAAUUACACGAUUUUGGCUAAUCAAGGUUGAAAACUCGAUACUCUGUUGAUCCUACGACGUAAGUGUGACCGGGCACUAUAUAAAUUCCCGGAAAUGUUACCCCCAUUGAGCAAUAUUGAUUAUUUGAGAAAAAACUAUGCAUAGACUCUUGGGGAUGCACGUCAGGGGACAGUCUAAGGACAAUUCAAACUUGUCGGGUUGGCUGGAUAACCGACAGAUGAGCCUCAUCAGUCAUAGGACAGGCAUGCAUCAUAUGCAUUUGUAUGCUUUGCUUGGGUUUGAACUUGUUUUGGUUUGCCUAAUUGCUAAACUGUUCUUAACUGCUACUUGAACUAUAUGCUGUAACUGCUACCUACUUGUGCUUUUCUUGUCUGUCUUGCCUGUGUUUGUCCUGACGUGCUACAUUUGAGAAUGAAUUUUGGUGCUGAACUAAUGAUUGUGUUGUUUGAUUGCGUGGUUGAUUUCUGAUUGAGGUUUUCUUAUAAGAAAGGAAAGGUUUCAAAUUUCUUGAAAGAUUAAACAUUGUUUCUUUGAAAAGGUUUUGAACGAUUUUUCUAUUGGUUUUUAAAAGAUUCAUAAGGCAUUGAUAAUCAUUGAGCUUGAAAACAGUUUUCUCAUUAAAUAUCUUCUUAUGACAACUUUGAAGUUCUGUGGUGAGACCAUGUGGUUAGGUUCUCACCCCCUUCAGCUUUACC